UACGAAGGGGGCUAGCGUUGCUCGGAAUCACUGGGCGUAAAGCGCACGUAGGCGGCUUCUUAAGUCAGGGGUGAAAUCCUGGAGCUCAACUCCAGAACUGCCCUUGAUACUGAGGAGCUUGAGUCCGGGAGAGGUGAGUGGAACUGCGAGUGUAGAGGUGAAAUUCGUAGAUAUUCGCAAGAACACCAGUGGCGAAGGCGGCUCACUGGCCCGGUACUGACGCUGAGGUGCGAAAGCGUGGGGAGCAAACAGGG
rnacentral:rRNA from 1 species